UACAGAGACUGCAAGCGUUAUUCGGAUUCACUGGGCGUAAAGGGUGCGCAGGCGGCCAUGUGUGUGAGGCGUGAAAGCCCGGGGCUUAACCCCGGAAUUGCACCUCAAACUACAUGGCUAGAGCAUUGGAGAGGGUAGCAGAAUUCACGGUGUAGCAGUGAAAUGCGUAGAUAUCGUGAGGAAUACCAGAGGCGAAGGCGGCUACUUGGACAAUUGCUGACGCUCAGGCACGAAAGCGUGGGGAGCAAAAGGG
rnacentral:rRNA from 1 species